rnacentral:rRNA from 1 species
AGUGAACGCUGGCGGUAGGCCUAACACAUGCAAGUCGAACGACAGCACAGUAAGAGCUUGCUCUUACGGGUGGCGAGUGGCGGACGGGUGAGGAAUACAUCGGAAUCUACUUUUUCGUGGGGGAUAACGUAGGGAAACUUACGCUAAUACCGCAUACGACCUACGGGUGAAAGCAGGGGAUCUUCGGACCUUGCGCGAUUGAAUGAGCCGAUGUCGGAUUAGCUAGUUGGCGGGGUAAAGGCCCACCAAGGCGACGAUCCGUAGCUGGUCUGAGAGGAUGAUCAGCCACACUGGAACUGAGACACGGUCCAGACUCCUACGGGAGGCAGCAGUGGGGAAUAUUGGACAAUGGGCGCAAGCCUGAUCCAGCCAUACCGCGUGGGUGAAGAAGGCCUUCGGGUUGUAAAGCCCUUUUGUUGGCAAAGAAAAGCAGCAGGUUAAUACCCCGCUGUUCUGACGGUACCCAAAGAAUAAGCACCGGCUAACUUCGUG